UUGUAACUUAUAAAAGGGUUCCCGCGGCCUACUGAUUUUCUAGAUCUGUAAACCUCCUGAAAUUUCAAAAUAUACGAAAAUAAAACAGAAGUGACAUUUUAUAGUGUCAUUCAAUAUGGAGAACGUUAUUCCUACGCGCGAUAAAAAGGAUAUUAUAGUCAGCUUUUUUUUUUUUUAAAUGUAAUAAUAGGGCGAAUCUAAUCAAAGCCGAAAAUUCCAAUACUUUAUUUACUUUAAUAG